rnacentral:rRNA from 1 species
GGACACUGCUCUUCGGAUCCGACUAAGCCAUGCGAGGCGAGAGACUUCGGGUCUCGGCGAACUGCUCAGUAAUACAUGGUUAACCUGCCCUUGGGUCGGGCAUAAUCUCGGGAAACUGAGGCUAAUACCCGAUAGGGGUUUUGUUCUGGAAUGACAAAACCCUGAAAGCUCCGGCGCCCAAGGAUGGGACCAUGUCCCAUCAGCCUGUUGGGGGUGUAACGAACCCUCAAAGCUGUAACGGGUACGGGCCAUGAGAGUGGGAGCCCGGAGAUGGACUCUGAGACAUGAGUCCAGGUCCUACGGGACGCAGCAGGCGCGAAACCUUCGCAAUGUGCUCACGCACGACGAGGGGAUCCGAAGUGCUGCAGCUUCGUGCUGCAGCUUUUGUCGAGUCCAAACAGCUCGGCGAAUAAGGGGUGGGCAAGACAGGUGCCAGCCGCCACGGUAAUACCUGCGCCCCGAGUGGUGUCCACGAUUAUUGGGCCUAAAGCGUCCGUAGCCGGCCCUGUAAGUCUUCGGUGAAAUCCACUAGUAAACUAGUGGGCUUGCCGGAGAUACUGCAGGGCUUGGGACCGGGAGAGGGCAGAGGUACUCCCAGGGGAGGGGUAAAAUCCUGUAAUCCUGGGGGGACCACCUGUGGCGAAGGCGUCUGCCUAGAACGGAUCCGACGGUGAGGGACGAAAGCUAGGGGAGCGAUCGGGAUUAGAUACCCCGGUAGUCCUAGCCGUAAACGAUGCCCGCUUGGUGUUACAAGCCCUUCGGGGGUUUGUAGUGCCGGAGCGUAGGUGUUAAGCGGGCCGCCUGGGGAGUACGGCCGCAAGGCUGAAACUUAAGGGAAUUGGCGGGGGAGCACACCAGGGGUGGAGGCUGCGG